GUAAUAUAUAGAUAACGUGCCUCUUAGUCUGGGAUAGCCAUUGGAAACGAUGAUUAAUACCGGAUACUCCUUCUAACUCUAAUGUUAGUCGGGAAAGUUUUUCGCUAAGAGAUCGGUCUAUAUCCCAUCAGUUAGUUGGUAAGGUAACGGCUUACCAAGGCAAUGACGGGUAGCGGGUUUGAGAGGAUGAUCCGCCACACUGGUACUGAGACACGGACCAGACUCCUACGGGAGGCAGCAGUGAGGAAUAUUGCACAAUGGGGGAAACCCUGAUGCAGCAACGCCGCGUGGAGGAUGACGCAUUUCGGUGUGUAAACUCCUUUUAUGAGUCAAGAAAAUGACGGUAGCUCAUGAAUAAGCACCGGCUAACUCCGUGCCAGCAGCCGCGGUAAUACGGAGGAUGCAAGCGUUACUCGGAAUCACUGGGCGUAAAGGACGCGUAGGCGGGAUGCCAAGUCUGAUGUGAAAUCCUAUGGCUUAACCAUAGAACUGCAUUGGAAACUGGUAACCUAGAGUAUGGGAGGGGGAGAUGGAAUUAGUGGUGUAGGGGUAAAAUCCGUAGAUAUCACUAGGAAUACCGAAAGCGAAGGCGAUCUCCUGGAACAUAACUGACGCUAAGGCGUGAAAGCGUGGGGAGCAAACAGGAUUAGAUACCCUGGUAGUCCACGCCCUAAACGAUGAACACUAGUCGUCGUGAUGCUUGUCAUUGCGGUGAUGCACUUAACAGAUUAAGUGUUCCGCCUGGGGAGUACGGUCGCAAGAUUAAAACUCAAAGGAAUAGACGGGGACCCGCACAAGUGGUGGAGCAUGUGGUUUAAUUCGAAGAUACGCGAAAAACCUUACCUGGCCUUGACAUUGAUAGAAUACUGUAGAGAUACGGUAGUGCCCUUCGGGGAGCUUGAAACAGGUGCUGCACGGCUGUCGUCAGCUCGUGUCGUGAGAUGUUGGGUUU
rnacentral:rRNA from 1 species